rnacentral:lncRNA from 10 species
AGGUGCCCCGGACAGGUGUGGCCAGCACGUCUUGCCAAGACCCCACCACCCCACCCACCCGCAUCUGUGGCCUUCUGGAACCGAGCUGUGGCCUGGGGUUCCAUGGAGCAGGUGGGGCGCGGAGGAACUGAGCUGUGGCCUGGGGUUCCGUGGAGCAGAAAAUUAGCCAGACGUGGUGGCGGGCGCCUGUAGUCCCAGGUACUCAGGAGGCUGAGGCAGGAGAAUGGCGUGAACCCGGGGGGCGGAGCCUGCAGUGAGCCGAGAUCGC